rnacentral:rRNA from 1 species
AUUGAACGCUGGCGGCAGGCCUAACCUUUCAAGUCGAGCGGUAGAGAGGAGCUUGCUCCUCUUGAGAGCGGCGGACGGGUGAGUAAUGCCUAGGAAUCUGCCUGGUAGUGGGGGAUAACGUUCGGAAACGGACGCUAAUACCGCAUACGUCCUACGGGAGAAAGCAGGGGACCUUCGGGCCUUGCGCUAUCAGAUGAGCCUAGGUCGGAUUAGCUAGUUGGUGAGGUAAUGGCUCACCAAGGCGACGAUCCGUAACUGGUCUGAGAGGAUGAUCAGUCACACUGGAACUGAGACACGGUCCAGACUCCUACGGGAGGCAGCAGUGGGGAAUAUUGGACAAUGGGCGAAAGCCUGAUCCAGCCAUGCCGCGUGUGUGAAGAAGGUCUUCGGAUUGUAAAGCACUUUAAGUUGGGAGGAAGGGCAGUAAAUUAAUACUUUGCUGUUUUGACGUUACCGACAGAAUAAGCACCGGCUAACUCUGUGCCAGCAGCCGCGGUAAUACAGAGGGUGCAAGCGUUAAUCGGAAUUACUGGGCGUAAAGCGCGCGUAGGUGGUUUGUUAAGUUGGAUGUGAAAUCCCCGGGCUCAACCUGGGAACUGCAUUCAAAACUGACUGACUAGAGUAUGGUAGAGGGGGGGUGGAAUUUUCUGUGUAAGCGGUGAAAUGCGUAAAUAUAGGAAGGAAACCCAGUGGCGAAAGGGGACCCCCUGGACUAAUACUGACACUGAGGUGCGAAAGCGGGGGGAGCAAACAGGAUUAGAUACCCUGGUAGUCCACGCCGUAAACGAUGUCAACUAGCCGUUGGAAGCCUGAAGCUUUAAGUGGCGCAGCUAACGCAUUAAGUUGACCGCCUGGGGAGUACGGCCGCAAGGUUAAAACUCAAAUGAAUUGACGGGGGCCCGCACAAGCGGUGGAGCAUGUGGUUUAAUUCGAAGCAACGCGAAGAACCUUACCAGGCCUUGACAUCCAAUGAACUUUCUAGAGAUAGAUUGGUGCCUUCGGGAACAUUGAGACAGGUGCUGCAUGGCUGUCGUCAGCUCGUGUCGUGAGAUGUUGGGUUAAGUCCCGUAACGAGCGCAACCCUUGUCCUUAGUUACCAGCACGUCAUGGUGGGCACUCUAAGGAGACUGCCGGUGACAAACCGGAGGAAGGUGGGGAUGACGUCAAGUCGUCAUGGCCCUUACGGCCUGGGCUACACACGUGCUACAAUGGUCGGUACAGAGGGUUGCCAAGCCGCGAGGUGGAGCUAAUCCCACAAAACCGAUCGUAGUCCGGAUCGCAGUCUGCAACUCGACUGCGUGAAGUCGGAAUCGCUAGUAAUCGCGAAUCAGAAUGUCGCGGUGAAUACGUAAACGGGCCU